CCAGCACUGCUAGAAUAAAGCAGGCAGGAGAAGAUGGAAGAGCAGACUUGCUGAGUCUUCCAGGCUUCAUCUUUCUCCUGAGCUGGAUGCUUCCUGCCCUCAAACACCAGACUCCAAGUUCUUCAGCUUUUGGACUCCUGGACUUACACCAGUGGUUUGCCAGGGGCUCUUGGGCCUGUGACCACAAACAGAAGGCUGCACUAUCGGCUUCCCUACUUUUGAGGUUUUGGGACUCAGACUGAUCCACCACUGGCUUCUUCGCUCCUCAACUUGCAGAUGGCCUAUCGUGGGACUUUACCUUGUGAUUGUGUGAGUCAAUUCUCCUUAAUAAACUC
rnacentral:lncRNA from 1 species